GAUGAACGCUAGCGGCAGGCUUAACACAUGCAAGUCGAGGGGUAUUGGUUUUCGGACCAAGAGACCGGCGCACGGGUGCGUAACGCGUAUGCAAUCUACCUUUUGCAGAGGGAUAGCCCCAGAGAAAUUUGGAUUAAUACCUCAUAGUAUAGUACUUUGGCAUCAAGGAACUAUUAAAGUCACAACGGCAAAAGAUGAGCAUGCGUCCCAUUAGCUAGUUGGUAAGGUAACGGCUUACCAAGACAAUGAUGGGUAGGGGUCCUGAGAGGGAGAUCCCCCACACUGGUACUGAGACACGGACCAGACUCCUACGGGAGGCAGCAGUGAGGAAUAUGGUCAAUGGGCGCAAGCCUGAACCAGCCAUGCCGCGUGCAGGAAGACGGUCCUAUGGAUUGUAAACUGCUUUUANACAGAAGAACCCUCCACGUGUGGGAGCUUGACGGUACUGUAGGAAUAAGGNUCGGCUAACNCCGUGCCAGCAGCCG
rnacentral:rRNA from 1 species